AAGAGCGGAAAAUCCGACCGCCUUAGGCGA
rnacentral:sRNA from 1 species